GUUUGCUUGCUUUCUACCAUCAGUCCUUCCUCCUUUCAGCUCAGCCUGCCAUUCUGGUAGCAAAGUCUGCAGGAGCUCAUGAAGAGGUCCAACGUGAUCAGGUGAAAAGACAGACCAAGCUGGUACAACAUGCUAAUAAAUUCCUUCUCUGAGGGAUCACUGAUGAGGCUGCCUGGAGGAUGAAAGAAAUGUUUUAAACUGAAAGAAGAGCCCCUCUUGCAGAGUGGACUUUGCCAGGUUAUAUAACCUUCCUCAGAAGAGGCUGAAGGAGGGAUGAAGAGGCCCUGAAGCCUCUGGGGGAAGGAGUAAGCAAGGCCUUUGGAAAAUGCAGGACCCUGGGAGAAAUCACCCCAGUAUGGGCUUUAUAGUCUCCUGCACCCAGUGAUGGCCAAGCUCACAAUUUCUCACCAGAAGAGUGAAGUGGGUCCAAAGAGUUGUAAUAGGACCAGAGCACUGCCUCACCAAAGCACUCAUGGAAUUCUUGCCCCAACCCAGGUGUCAUGGGGUUCUCCUGGGUCUGUGGACAGGCUGCAGGCAACCUGCUCUAUGGGGAUAUUAACACACUCUUUGCAUACAUUUAAAGGAACUUGUGUGCCUUGCUGGUGUCUGUCCAAGACUUCCUGUCAACUACAGCACCUGGUCAUCACCAGAGUCUGGAAACUCUAUCACAGAGCAAUUACAAAUCACAGCAGAAUAGUGUCAGAGAGUGACAUGAUUUUACCAGCAGGCUGUCCUCAGCCAGAACUUAAUUACCCUGGCCUUCAGAUGGGUCUCUUCAUAUCCCUGGGUUCCUCAUUUGGAAAAUAAAAAAGCCUGUUGGGAGAAGGUAAUUUUCAGGAAUGUCUUACUUAAGUAACAGCUCUGCAGACAGGAAGCACUGCCCAACAACUAACAAUAGGUAGCAUUUCAGAAGAAGAAGAUUCAGAGAAGAUCUGAUGGAGAAGCCAACAUCUGCAAAAAGGGAACACUCCUCCUCCCUUGCAGAACUCAUUGUGGGGGGAGAGAGAGAGAAGAUUUAUCAAAAUGAGAUAAGGGCAGACAGAGGAAACCCUGACUCAGAAGCUUCCAGUGACUCAGUUUUGAGAACAAGAAGCGUACUCAGUAUAGUUAAAAUUUCUGGAAAUUUCAAGCAGACCAAGAGAGAGCUAUCCAUCUUACACCACAGAGCACUAAUCUACAGAACUGAAAGUUUCCCCUGGAAAUAUGUGCUAAUAAGAGAUAUUGUCCCACAGUCCUCCUCUCUUCUGGCCUAUGUCUGCUAAGGAUACAAGGUCAUUUCCAGUGUGUCACUACCUCCUAAAUCUCAGUGAGCUGCUGUUAGGAGUUGGUGGUAUCCUAAUUAGGGACUCUGGAGAAACCCAUAACUCUGAAGUACUAUAGAACAGACACAUGGAAGGUAUACAACAGAAGGCUAGUAGGAAAGAAAGCCAGAAGCCUCCUGCCUGGGUAUUGUUUUCACCACUCAGUUUCUGACUUUUAGCAUGGAGCUUGACAUCUAGUAGGUGCUCAAUAAAUACUCCAUCAAUGAGUGAAGAUAGUCAUUAAAUUGGAUUUUACGUAAAAAGAAAAUAAUGGAAAUCAGAACAGUUGUGAGAAAGAGAAAGAGACUGAAGAGGAAGAAAGAUAGGCUUAGCAAUAUUUUUAUUAAUUUUCCAGGAUGAGACACAGCCUGGAGUUGCUGGAACAUAGCCCUGUGGCCACUUCUUCAGUCUUCUUUUGUGCCUUGGAAAGUAUUGUAAAUCAAUCUCUCUCUCUCUCUCUCUCUCUCCCUCCCUCCCUCUGUCUUUUUCUCUCCUUUAAAUGGUUCUCUUUAACCAUGUUUACAAAGUAGAAAGUACUAGGAGUGGAUUUGAAAGGAAUGCAAUGCAGCUAAUGAAUAACUCAAUCAAAUUAAAUGAAGAUUGUGUUUCACAGUUGAGAGGAAAUCGUCAGUUGAGUAAACAAUCCCUAUCUGAUUGGGAGAGAAACCAAGGGAUACACACACACACACACACACACACACACACACACACACACACACAGUGUGCCCAUCUUUUGGUUUUUGUUUUUGAGAAUUUCACCUACUUCAUUACUGUUGUGGGGAUCAAAUGAGAUCAGCAGAAGUGCUCACUGUGCGAUCUGUACAUAAUGAAUUUCCUCCCUACCAUUCCUCAGUCCAGUGGUGGUGAACCUAUAGCACAUGCUGGUUUUCUUUUAAUAAAAAAGAUGUUAAUGUAUGAGUUGUUUUUUCUAAACUAAAACCUAACUAGUAUUCAGGUUGAACUGCAGUCUUGGCACUUUGUGAUAAACAAGUAGAUUUUGGGUUGUAGUUUGGGCACUUGUCUCUAAAAGGUCCAUCA
ensembl:lncRNA